AACGAACGCUGGCGGCCGGCCUAACACAUGCAAGUCGAACGCGUGUAGCGAUACACGAGUGGCGCACGGGUGAGUAACACGUGGGAAUCAACCCAGAGGUUCGGAAUAACCGCGGGAAACUGCGGCUAAUACCGGAUAUCCCCUACGGGGGAAAGAUUUAUCGCCUUUGGACGAGCCCGCGUCCGAUUAGCUAGUUGGUGAGGUAACGGCUCACCAAGGCUACGAUCGGUAGCUGGUCUGAGAGGAUGACCAGCCACACUGGAACUGAGAUACGGUCCAGACUCCUACGGGAGGCAGCAGUGGGGAAUAUUGGGCAAUGGAGGCAACUCUGACCCAGCCAUGCCGCGUGGGUGACGAAGGUCUUCGGAUUGUAAAGCCCUUUCGGCGGGGACGAUGAUGACGGUACCCGCAGAAGAAGCCCCGGCUAACUUCGUGCCAGCCGCCGCGGUAAUAC
rnacentral:rRNA from 1 species